UACGUAGGGUGCAAGCGUUAUCCGGAAUUAUUGGGCGUAAAGAGCUCGUAGGCGGUUUGUCGCGUCUGCUGUGAAAACUGGGGGCUCAACCCCCCAGCCUGCAGUGGGUACGGGCAGACUAGAGUGCGGUAGGGGAGAUUGGAAUUCCUGGUGUAGCGGUGGAAUGCGCAGAUAUCAGGAGGAACACCGAUGGCGAAGGCAGAUCU
rnacentral:rRNA from 1 species